UACUAAGGGUUUCAUCCGCCCCUGGCUGC
rnacentral:piRNA from 1 species